rnacentral:rRNA from 1 species
UACGAAGGGGGCUAGCGUUGCUCGGAAUCACUGGGCGUAAAGCGCACGUAGGCGGAUUGUUAAGUCAGGGGUGAAAUCCUGGAGCUCAACUCCAGAACUGCCCUUGAUACUGGCGGUCUCGAGUCCGGGAGAGGUGAGUGGAACUGCGAGUGUAGAGGUGAAAUUCGUAGAUAUUCGGAGGAACACCAGUGGCGAAGGCGGCUCACUGGUCCAUUACUGACGCUGAGGUGCGAAAGCGUGGGGAGCAAACAGG